rnacentral:rRNA from 1 species
UACAGAGGUCUCAAGCGUUGUUCGGAUUCAUUGGGCGUAAAGGGUGCGUAGGCGGCUCGGUUAGUCAGAUGUGAAAUCUUGUGGCUUAACCACAAAACUGCAUUUGAUACUGCCGGGCUUGAGGAUUCAAGAGGGGGCUGGAAUUCACGGUGUAGCAGUGAAAUGCGUAGAUAUCGUGAGGAAGACCAACGGCGAAAGCAAGCCCCUGGGGAAUUACUGACGCUGAGGCACGAAGGCUAGGGGAGCAAACGGG